ensembl:lncRNA
UGUCUCAAUGUUCGAAAAUUAAUGACUCAUCUAUAGCUAAUAGCAGGUUGUUUGGUCAAUUUCAAAGAAAAGUCAAAGAGCAUAAAAGACAAAAACUGAUGCAAGAUCAGAGCUGACAAAAGCUCUGAAAAGUCUCGUUUCAACCCUUUGUACGUUAACGAAAUUCGACAAGCUCAUGCAGCAAACACGAAACUCUGAUCCUAAGCCAGUUAACACACACUAUCAUUCAAAAAGCCCUAUAUAUGUGCCCUCCCCUGCCCUUGUACAUCUCGAUCAGGACUUGAGAAACUGAAACUUUGAGCUGUUUGGCAUACUCCUGGUUAUGAGUUACAAAUGAGAGUUGAGCAAAACAUAUGCUGUUGUUUCGUCAUAAAGAACUGCCAAAAUUUGCAUGACAUAAUGACAGCGGAGUGUUUUACAGCCGAGCCUGGUGCUCAAGAGGCAUAAGUUGAUUGCGGGAGGAGAGAAGGAGAGAGCGCGGGUUUCUGCUGGGUUACAUCAGCUAAGCGGAGACAGAAUGUUGUGCCGUUGUGCGCCUGCACUAGCUUGCUGUAAGGCACAAAGCCUGCAGCAACCAUGUGCCUUCUCAUGCCCAAAGUGGAGAAACACUGAACCAUGCUCUCAGGUUAGUGCUAAAUAUGAGCCAAGACUUCUGCAGCCUUGCAACACUGAGUCAUCUGUAAUUAGCAAAGAACUCUGAAAUUUGCCAAAUUCUUCUCAGAUAUUCAUUUGAGUCUUCGAUUCUUUCUUUCACCAAGUUCCAAAUAUUCACUGGCAGCAAACAGCUUAACCAAAUCAUCAGAUUACAUCACAAAAUAUAACUCUCCACAAGAGAUUUAGGUCACAUGGCAUCCACACAUCCAUCUUACUUCAUUUCUUUUAGCUAGUCGGGUCUAGCCGCAGCCAGCCGGCCGUCCGAAACCCACAUCGCUCGUGAUUUAUUAUUCAAAGACGAAAUCCGUUGUAGCUGCAGUCAUGACGGAUGAUGAAUGGGCUGCUUUAGGCACAAAGUUGAAGCUAGAGUUUUCUACACAGACGACCAGCGCCACAGCCACACUCAUUAGUCCGUUUUUGUUAAACUACUACAACUCUGCAUGCAGAGCUUUCUAUUUCAAUUCAAAGGUGUCUGCCUUUCGCAAACUCUGUCCCGCUGAUACACUUUUUAAACUAUCAAAGUUAAGGUGCUGUAUAUUGUACUUAGGACAAUUUUUUAGGUUGAGGUUUAUACAGAGUCCCUACGGGGACAUGCUGAUGGAAAAAAUAAGAGAUAGGAGGAAAAUGCCAAUUUCAAUGCUUUCGUGUUCGCUCGCAAAACUUUUACAUUCCCCCGAGAAUUCAAUUCAAUUCAAUUUUAUUUGUAUAGCUCUUUUUACAAUGGACUUUGUCUCAAAGCAGCUUUACUGAAACAUGUAAACACGGGAUAGAGAUUUUAAAUGAGCGAAUUUAUCCCAAUUUUUCCCAAGAAAGUUUGUGUUUGGUUGGAAUUUUUUUGCUAUCUCUCGCGAAUUUUUUUCCGUUCCGUCGCACAACUUUUGCGUCCUCUCGUCGUUAAGUACAAACGGUACUUCCUGUUUAAUUUCUCGCUGGCAGCAGGGCAGUGGUUUAGAUCACUCAAAUGAUGCAAAUACAAGAGCGUGCACCGUGCAGAAGUCUGUGUGUUCGUGGGAGAGAACACAACGGGUUUUACGAGAGGAUGCGAAGUAUUCUUUGGAGAAUGCGAAACUCUUUUCGAAUGUUUUGCUUAAAAAAAACAAACAUUUUGCGGUUUUUUCCAAAAAUUUGUGAUGCAAUUUUCUGGAGUUCUUAGUGCUUUUUUUGCAGAAAACAACCUGAAUUGGUGAAAUUGCGAUUGCGCAAAAUAUUUUGCAUGGUCUUUCGCAGUGUUGUUUGUUGGUAAAUGAGACCUUUUAGCUGAUUCGUGUACGCACAUGAAUCAAAGAAAGCUUUGGCUGAAUGUGUGUUGUGAUGAUGUCACAUGACACGUCUUGGCCUAAAUCAGAAUAUCUGCAUAAAUUUUAAACAAUUGCAAGCUCCUCCAAAUAUUGCGGAGUUUGCUUGUUUUUUGCAUUUAUUUCUGUGAUCACGAAAUCCUGGAGGGACUGAAAGGUGAAGUUUUAAUUAUGCAAACAAUAUCAAGUGAAAACAUCUGGAAUUUGUCAUUAUGAAUUCUGUUGCUCUUGUCAUUUGGAUUCGAUCGGUCAGAUUUGAGUGGUCAACGUUUAUUUAACAUUUAUGGAAGGAGUCUCCAAUGUCACUGCUUUCUAACAGUCAGAGCUAAAGCUGUAACUUUAAGUUUACCAACACAAGAAAGUCUAAGGAUUGAGGAUUGAAGACACUGGCAUUUUUCAAUGAUAAGCUGCAAUUUCCGCCAUAUUUACUUCAAGAAACGACUGUUUAUAGAUGCAACAUAAGUAAUAACAUAAGUAAUAACUCAUUUUCUUAUGGGAUGUUCCACAGCAUUAAAUGUAACUAUGUGCAUGGUGGCUUAGUG